UACGUAGGGGGCAAGCGUUGUUCGGAAUUACUGGGCGUAAAGCGCGUGUAGGCGGCUAUGCAAGUCGGAUGUGAAAGCCCUCGGCUCAACCGGGGAAGUGCACCCGAAACUGCAAAGUUAGAGUCUCGGAGAGGAUCGUGGAAUUCCCAGUGUAGCGGUGAAAUGCGUAGAUAUUGGGAGGAACACCAGUGGCGAAGGCGGCUCACUGGACCGGUACUGACGCUGAGGCGCGAAAGCGUGGGGAGCAAACAGG
rnacentral:rRNA from 1 species